UCCACUUCACCCUCCUCUGCCUCUCUCAGGGCAGUGAGUAAGCCUGUGCCCCACGUCUCUCACCAGCCUUGGGAACUGGACUUUUAAUCCUGCCAGGAUUAUUGUGAGGUGCAAUGAGACCAUCACUGCCUGGGAAGAUGCUCAUUUUUUUAUAUGAUAAGAACGUGAGGCACUUACUGUUUCUGUAACCAAGGACCACAGUCCUGUACUUGGAGACAGCGUCACUUCCUGAGCACUGUAAUAAGGCAGCAUGAGGAUGGCAGACUCCGUUCAUUUUGAGAACCAAUGCAGAAGAGGAGAGAGGGAAAAGACACGGGGACAGGACAGGUCCCACACUGCUCUGUUCUGGCCACAAAUAGGACUGGUUCUGAGCCUGCGAGAAAAGGUGAAGCCACAGACUUCAUGAAAUCCUAGAUGGGACCAAGUCCAUGUGGUGCCGCCCUCUCCCUGGAGACACAGUUGACAAGAGCUGGAUAAGCCAGUCACCUCCCCUCACCUCCUAUCCAGAGGUGACUGUCACUCCGGGUUCAAGUGGCCCUGACAUGCAUGGAAAUGGCAUCUGCCUAGGACACCAGCUGCACGGUCAUGACAAGCACCAUGGGCCAAGAGGCUCCAGUGGAAAGAACACGAGCAAACUCGUUCCCAAGCCCUUGUGGGAUGUCACUGCUCUGAGGAUGCCCAGAAACAACUGCGGAAGAUUUCAAGCAGACGUAAACAGCUCGGUGGCUAAGGUCUUGUUGAACAAGCGCAAGUUUGGAGCCAUGGAGACAUGAGAACAAUAUUAACUGACCUUGUUUGUAUUCAUGAUGCCCUGAGACCUACGAGGUGUAGAAUAAUUAAUCCACUGGCUCGUCUUUGCAUCUUGGCUCUAUUUCUGGGGAACGGCUACUAGGUCACGGCUGUGUGCCUGACCUCACGCCUGCCCCUCACCAGAAAGAAGUGCUUAAGUGAAGAUGAAGUGAAAAAUGGACUGCUUGAUAUCUACUCCUUCAUACAUACCAAGCCCGGCAGUAAAACCACCCACAAAACUUUGACUUACUUGACUUUUUAAGUUUUUGUCAUACUCUUCGAUUCUUCCUUGAAGGCACCUGUCACCAACUGUAGCUGAAGUGCUUGUCCCGGUCUACUGGGGUGACCUCAGUGGGUCUCUUUUCAGACUUUCACCACAUCCCCAUGCUGUGCUCCAGGAAACAGCCACGACUGUGACACUGACAUCUACACCAUCUCCCAAAACAUUCGAACCAAGAAGCCCACGAGUCGCCGCUGUCAUCAUCACGCUGCCAUCUGCGGGUGCUGCUGUAAGUCCAGCAACUAGAACUCUUCUCAACUUGCAACCCUCCAGACUCAAAAACUGAGUUUACAGUCAGUUACAAUGAUCGAUCUUUGGUUUUCUUUGGAUUUCCUUAAAAAUUCACCCCUAUUAAAUGUCUGUCUUCUCAAACCAUCCAGCAAAAUCCUCUAGUAACAAAAGACAAGCCAAAGACAACAGAAUGGGAAGUGGACUUACCCUGUUCAGAGAAAAGAAGAAAGUCUCUUCCUUGAAUAAGGCAAGGGAACUGAACGAGACUCCCUCCUGAAACAGACUGGAGUCUUCUUGUGGGCACUGCCACCAGCAACGAUCCAUGCCAAACGUGUCACUUUCCCAGGCGCAUGGCAACUAGAGCCGCGGCUUCCUUGGGCUGUGCAGGGGCUUUGCCCAGUCUGGUCCAGAUCUGGAAUCCCUGUCCGUGCUGUCACGCACCACUGUCCCAGCAUCUUCCUGAUGGCAAAGGGCGGGGCUCGAGUCUCAAAGCAGCCCUCCCCAAGGAGAUCCUUUGCACUGCAGCUUUUGGCUUAACAUCUCAGAUGGUGCGUUCAGCAAUAUAUUUGCUUUUAUUUUCACAUACGUAACAUUUUAUAUGACUUACUGGGUAGAUAAUUUAACUUCUUCUCUCUCAAAUACGUGCAUAAAUCCAGUGCCUGGGAAGGUCUUGUGUGUUAAUGCUGUGAUUCUCUGCAACACACCUGUGAACUCAAGUACCGACUCCCCAGAAUGCGGGAAGCCCAGAACAGACCCUUUUCGGUCUUACAUAUAAUCUUUCUGAGGAACAAGGAGAUCGGGCAAUCAAGUGUUAUAUAUUUACAGCCUUAGUUAGAUGAGUUUUACAAGUCUUGAUGAGCGGGUUUAAAACAGAACUUUAAUUUGAAUGGUCUCACUGUCACACAUUUACUCUACAUAUUCAUAAAUGUUGCUAUAUCCACUUAAUACUGUUAGCGUCAAGUAAACUAGGAAUUUUAAAGUGUUUAAAGCCAAUAUAGUGCAAAUCUCUGCAAAAAAAAUAAAAGUUAAUUCAUACUUCUUUCUAAUUAUAAAUAGAAUGUAUCACCUAGGGAUUGCAAAGACAUCAUUUUCUGGUUUUAUAACAUCUGUUAGGUGCUUCAAGUCAAUUCUGAUUACUACAAUUUACAGAGUUAGCAUCUAUGAUUCUGUGUGAUUACUGCUCUCUCAAUUAAGUACAUAUGAAAUUACUUAUAACACAUUAGUCAACCAGUAAAUGUGAAAAAUCAUCUACUUCUAGAACUGGAGGAGGGAGUACUAGAGUGGAAGUAUUUUAGAAGUUUAAAAGCAUCCACAGAAAUACUGCAAGGUCAUAUCAGUCAGGGUAGAUAAAUAGACUUCUCUGAUACUUAAACAAUUUAGUAUUAGUAAUAGUAAUAAAAUUAAUCUCAAUUGACUUCUUACAGUAAUAGAAAAUACAAAAAAAAUUAUCUUUCAAUUUUUCAAUAAAAAUCACACCCAUAGAGUACUUUCAAUACACUUGUAUACCCACAUAUUUAAAAAUAGUCAUAAAAUUAAUUCUAGUAUGCUAGGAGGCAAGUUCUACUGCAAAAGUAGCAUAAAUUCCUCUGACCAAUGAGGAAAAAUAUCAAAAAUUAAGGAGAAAAACAGUUUUUCUUCAAAGUUAUAAGUUUGGAAAGGCAAAAUUAAAAGGUCUUUAUAUCUGUUGAUAUCAUUAGGUUACAAAGUGUGAGAUUUUUGCUGGGACUGUGGCACUAAAAGUUUCCUUUUUGGACAUAUUACUUGAAUAC